UCUAAUACCGGAUACNACCUUCCUCUGCAUGGGGGUUGGUGGAAAGCUCCGGCGGUGCAGGAUGGGCCCGCGGCCUAUCAGCUUGUUGGUGGGGUAAUGGCCUACCAAGGCGACGACGGGUAGCCGGCCUGAGAGGGCGACCGGCCACACUGGGACUGAGACACGGCCCANACUCCUACGGGAGGCAGCAGUGGGGAAUAUUGCACAAUGGGCGAAAGCCUGAUGCAGCGACGCCGCGUGAGGGAUGACGGCCUUCGGGUUGUAAACCUCUUUCAGCAGGGAARAAGCGCAAGUGACGGUACCUGCARAARAAGCACCGGCUAACUACGUGCCAGCAGCCGCGGUAAUACGUAGGGUGCGAGCGUUGUCCGGAAUUAUUGGGCGUAAAGAGCUCGUAGGCGGCCUGUCGCGUCRGAUGUGAAAGCCCGGGGCUUAACCCCGGGUCUGCAUUCGAUACGGGCAGGCUAGAGUGUGGUAGGGGAGAUCGGAAUUCCUGGUGUAGCGGUGAAAUGCGCAKAUAUCAGGAGGAACACCGGUGGCGAAGGCGGAUCUCUGGGCUAUUACUGACGCUGAGGAGCGAAAGCGUGGGGAGCGAACAGGAUU
rnacentral:rRNA from 1 species